rnacentral:rRNA from 1 species
AAGGGGCAGUAAUGCAUGGAUAACCUACCUUGGGGUUGGGCAUAGCCGUUCUAACGAGCGGGUAAUACCCAGAGAUUCAGCGGGGCGGCAUCGUUCUGCUGGGAAAGAAUUUCGCCUCGAGAGGGGUCCAUGUGCUAUUAGCUAGUUGGUGAGGUAACGGCUCACCAAGGCUAAGAUGGCUAGCGGGUGUGAGAGCACGACCCGCGCCACUGGCACUGAGACACUGGCCAGACACCUACGGGUGGCUGCAGUCGAGGAUCUUCGUCAAUGGGCGCAAGCCUGAACGAGCGACACCGCGUGCGCGAUGAAGGCCUUCGGGUUGUAAAGCGCGAAAGUGGAGAGAAAGGGCAACUUGAUCAAUCCACAGUAAGGACGGGCUAAGUUCGUGCCAGCAGCCGCGGUAAGACGAACUGUCCUAACGUUGUUCGGAAUCACUGGGCUUAAAGGGCGCGUAGGCGGUCCGACAAGUCGGGGGUGAAAUCCUGCAGCUUAACUGCAGAAGUGCCUUCGAUACUGUCGGUCUUGAGGGAGAUAGGGGUGUGCGGAACUUCCAGUGGAGCGGUGAAAUGCGUUGA